GGGUUGUGAGGUUAAGCGACUAAGCGUACACGGUGGAUGCCCUGGCAGUCAGAGGCGAUGAAGGACGUGCUAAUCUGCGAAAAGCGCCGGCGAGGUGAUAUGAACCCUUGACCCGGCGAUGUCCGAAUGGGGAAACCCAGUGCAAUCCGUUGCACUAUCGUUAACUGAAUACAUA
rnacentral:rRNA from 1 species